rnacentral:rRNA from 1 species
AGUGAACGCUGGCGGUAGGCCUAACACAUGCAAGUCGAACGGCAGCACAGUAAGAGCUUGCUCUUACGGGUGGCGAGUGGCGGACGGGUGAGGAAUACAUCGGAAUCUACUUUUUCGUGGGGGAUAACGUAGGGAAACUUACGCUAAUACCGCAUACGACCUACGGGUGAAAGCAGGGGAUCUUCGGACCUUGCGCGAUUGAAUGAGCCGAUGUCGGAUUAGCUAGUUGGCGGGGUAAAGGCCCACCAAGGCGACGAUCCGUAGCUGGUCUGAGAGGAUGAGCGCGCCGACUGUGACGAAUACACGGUCCAGAGCACUACGGGAGGCAGCAUUGGGGAAUGUUGGGAAAUGGGCGCAAGGCUUAUCCAGCCCUACCGCGGGGAUAGAGAAGGCCUUCGUGUUGUCCACCCCUUUUGUUGGGAAAGAAAAGCAUCAGGUUCGGACCCCGCUGUUCUGACGGUACCCAAAGAAUAAGCACCGGCUAACUUCGUG